CAAGAGCGUAUAUUAAAGUUGCUGCGGUUAAAAAGCUCGUAGUUGGAUUUCAGUCUAGGAAGGUUCACUCGCCGAAAGGUUGUACGUUGAUUUUCCUCAGACUUCGUCAGAAGCUCGUGCUGCACUUAACUGUGUGGUACGAUGUUCUGACCUUUUACCUUGAGGAAAGUAGAGUGUUUCAGGCAGGCUACCCAGCUUGAAUACAUUAGCAUGGAAUAAUGAAAUGGAUCUCGGUUCGAUUUCGUUGGUUCUAGAGCUGAGGUGAUGAUCAAUAGGAACAGGCGAAGGUAUUCGUACUUGAGAGUGAGGAGUGAAAUCCGAUGAUCUCUUAAAGACGAUCCGAGGCGAAAGCAUUUGUCAAGGAUGUUUUCAUUGA
rnacentral:rRNA from 1 species